rnacentral:rRNA from 2 species
UUUCGGGCAUAGUGGCGCACGGGUGCGUAACGCGUGGGAAUCUGCCCUUGGGUUCGGAAUAACAGUGAGAAAUUGCUGCUAAUACCGGAUGAUGUCUUCGGACCAAAGAUUUAUCGCCCAGGGAUGAGCCCGCGUAGGAUUAGCUAGUUGGUGGGGUAAUGGCCUACCAAGGCGACGAUCCUUAGCUGGUCUGAGAGGAUGAUCAGCCACACUGGGACUGAGACACGGCCCAGACUCCUACGGGAGGCAGCAGUGGGGAAUAUUGGACAAUGGGCGCAAGCCUGAUCCAGCAAUGCCGCGUGAGUGAUGAAGGCCUUAGGGUUGUAAAGCUCUUUUACCCGGGAUGAUAAUGACAGUACCGGGAGAAUAAGCUCCGGCUAACUCCGUGCCAGCAGCCGCGGUAAUACGGAGGGAGCUAGCGUUGUUCGGAAUUACUGGGCGUAAAGCGCGCGUAGGCGGCUGCUCAAGUCAGAGGUGAAAGCCCGGGGCUCAACCCCGGAACUGCCUUUGAAACUAGGUAGCUAGAAUCUUGGAGAGGUCAGUGGAAUUC